CCUACGGGGGGCUGCAGUGGGGAAUAUUGGACAAUGGGGGCAACCCUGAUCCAGCCAUGCCGCGUGUGUGAAGAAGGCCCUCGGGUUGUAAAGCACUUUCAGUGAGGAAGAACGCCUGGUGGUUAAUACCCAUCAGGAAAGACAUCACUCACAGAAGAAGCACCGGCUAACUCCGUGCCAGCAGCCGCGGUAAUACGGAGGGUGCGAGCGUUAAUCGGAAUUACUGGGCGUAAAGCGCGCGUAGGUGGCUUGAUAAGCCGGUUGUGAAAGCCCCGGGCUCAACCUGGGAACGGCAUCCGGAACUGUCAAGCUAGAGUGCAGGAGAGGAAGGUAGAAUUCCCGGUGUAGCGGUGAAAUGCGUAGAGAUCGGGAGGAAUACCAGUGGCGAAGGCGGCCUUCUGGACCGACACUGACACUGAGGUGCGAAAGCGUGGGUAGCAAACAGGAUUAGAACCCUUGUAGUC
rnacentral:rRNA from 1 species